GGAGGCGAUACACUCUGGAAUCAGAGAGAUGAGAAGACUUUUAGUUCUGAAAUGACUGACUGCAAUCUCUUGUAAUGCCACUAGAGGGAGCCAGAAUUUUCCUUGUCACUCCAAACUCUAUCACAUUCUUUACAAUUUAAGCACCUGCGAUACAUCUGCUCAGCCUGGAGAUGGCGUCCGUCUUUGAGCAGCUGAACAUCGUUGAAGAGGAGGCGAAUCAUUCCUUCUGCUUUCUCCAGAUCAGAAGAUCGGACCCGAGGCCUGGUUCUCACCGACUGCAGCAGGGUCUCCACCUGGUUCAGCUGUUCCUCACAAACUCCUGACUCCAUCUGGACCUUACUCACGAUCCUCUGGAGUCGCUCCAACCUGCAGCCAGAGAAGGAGGCGCUCUCUCUCCAGGAUGGCCACAUGGAGGCGACCCCAUUCUUUCUCUACGUCAAAGGGAUGGUAACCUGGGGGCACUUUGACAUGACCUGCCUGAACUGCACCCUGUAACAAACACCAAGUAUAACUAUG